ensembl:lncRNA
UCUUUUUUUUUUUUAAUGCGUGUCAUAUACAUAUUUUGACUAGUGGGAGCAAUAAUUUGGCAUACAUAUUGGGGGCCAAAAAUACACAAGUUUAUAAUAUCUUUAUAAUCAGAUUUGCUGACUUUUUUCUAAAGACAAUAAAUACAGGGUAUUUCAUACCAUAUUUCAUUCAUAACAUAUAGAGAAAUAUGCACCCAUGGUAGCUCUGUAACAGAGCUCUGGGAACAGGUGCUUUCUGAAGCCACCCGUAACACUAAUUCCAGCAGAGAAUACUGUUCCCUGUAGGAACAGGGCUAGAGAAACCACACUUUUAAGAGGGCAAGAAGUCAGAUACAGGCAUGCUGUUGGGGCUGAGUAUGCCAGUCUAGCAAAUAGAGAGGAAAAUUACUUACCUGGACACUAUAGCUACUUCUUCCAAAUCCAAGUUUGAGGACAGAUUCAAGCACUUUUUUACUUGUUUAUUUUACUUACACUAGUAGAAGCUGCAUGCUUACUAGAGUGAUACGUACUUCUAGAAAGUGUUCCCUCCAAGUUAACAGAUAUGGCCCAAUUUUGUUGUGAGCUUCUCCAUGCUGAAUCUCCUCUUGUGAUUUUUCACCUGUAUUUCUCAGCUUUCUACUAUCUUUGACAGACGGCCCAACUAGCUGAUUGUAUUAACAAGCAGAAUGCACAGUAGAAUCAGGAGUAAGCUCCUUGAUUUUAAAUCAUUUCCCUCAUCAUAUGUCAACAUUGUGGUUUCUACAUGGUUCACUCUUGAGCACCUUCUUUUUAAGAUACAAUUGAGGUCUGUAGCUUAUAAUUAAGAUUUCGUUGUUAUUCACCAUCUCCCUUCCUCAAACUGUAUAACCAUUCUCCACAAAACCAUUGCUCAUGGCAGCUUUUCAUACCAUUAGGCUCAGGCUGUGAGUUCUAGAAGGAGGAGACAAGAAAUGAACUUCUCUCCAAGGCGACAGGUGAAGGGGAUGCUUCAGCUGUGCCCCCUCCAUUGCUCAUGUUGAUCAGAGUUGCUAAGGGUACAGAAAAAUGAGCCCCAGAAGAUCAAAGAUAGCAAGACCAAGUGAGAAAUUGCUUCCAUUUCUCCUUCUGCCUCACCAACAGCUAAGUUUUCUGAUUACUUAGAAUUGUCUAUAGUUCAGGCUGCAAAGGUAUCAUUGGGAGAAAAGUCUCAUGACAAUGCCUAAUAAGCCAAAAACUCAGACUACCCUGAGAGAAUAAGGUUGUUUGUGGACUGAUGUAAAGAAGCAUCUUUUAACUAUUAAGCUGAAAUAAUUUCAUAGAGUGAUCUUUGAGAGACCACAAACAUGGAGGUCCUAGGUGUCAUUCUCACGUAUCCACUUUAAAGAUUAGUACUGCACUUUAAUGAACAAAAAUUGAAUGUUUGUUACCCAGCAUAUGUCCCCAUAUUUAAAAUUCCCCCAUGGAUAAAAGAACUACAUGGGUUUGAGUACCAGAUGAAUUGAUCCAGGAUAUUUCAUUAUUCUGAUCUUGGCUGGUGAUCUCCAGAGAACAUAAUUCUGUUUUCAGCUUAUUUUCUUCUUCCUUAAUCUUUCCACAAGCAUUUAAAUAAAAAUUAGCAUCAAAUUAUGUCUCACUGGUACUGGACACAUUUCUGGCUUUUGAUAUCCUCUUACCUUCACAGUUUUAUCCAGAUAUUUCUUUGCUUUUCUGGUUCUGCAUGUUUACGAGUUUUCACAUGAGCAUGAAUUUUCUACAACUUCAAGGCAGUUCAUAUUGUUUCCUAUCACUGACAAAGACUUCAGCCUCAGCCAGAUUGCUGACAUUGGUUCAGAGCAAACAUAGAAUCAUAGAAUCAUAGAAUCAUAGAAUCGUAAGGGUUGGAAAGGACCUUAAGAUCAUCUAGUUCCAACCUUCCUGCCAUGGGCAGGGACACCUUGCCCUAAACCACGUGGUCCAAGGCUCUGUCCAACCUGGCCUUGAACACCGCCAGGGAUGGAGCAUCCACAACCUCCCUGGGCAACCCAUUCCAGUGCUUCACCACCCUCACUGGAAAGAACUUCUUCCUUAUAUCUAAUCUAAACUUCCCCUGUUUAAGUUUGAACCCAUUACCCCUUGUCCUACCACUACAGUCCCUAAGGAAGAGUCCCUCCCCAGCAUCCUUGUAGGCCCCCUUCAGAUACUGGAAGGCUGCUCUGAGGUCUCCACGCAGUCUUCUCUUCUCCAGGCUGAACAGCCCCAACUUUCUCAGCCUGUCUUCAUACGGGAGGUGCUCCAGCCCUCUUAUCAUCCUCGUGGCCCUCCUCUGGACUCGCUCCAACAGCUCCAUGUCCUUUUUAUGUUGAGGACACCAGAACUGUACACCAUACUCCAAGUGAGGUCUCACGAGAGCAGAGUAGAGGGGCAGGAUCACCUCCUUUGACCUACUGGUCACGCUUCUUUUGAUGCAGCCCAGGAUAUGGUUGGCUUUCUGGGCUGCAAGUGCACACUGCCGGCUCAUGUUAAGCUUCUCGUCAACCAACACCCCCAAGUCCUUCUCUGCAGGGCUGCUCUGAAUCUCUUCUCCGCCCAACCUGUAGCAGUGCCUGGGAUUGCCCUGACCCAGGUGUAGGACCUUACACUUGGCUUGGUUAAACUUCAUAAGGUUGGCAUCGGCCCACCUCACAAGCGUGUCAAGGUCCCUCUGGAUGGCAUCCCUUCCCUCCAGCGUAUCAACCGAACCACACAGCUUGGUGUCGUCGGCAAACUUGCUGAGGGCGCACUCAAUCCCACUGUCCAUGUCGCCGACAAAGAUG